rnacentral:rRNA from 1 species
UACGUAGGGCGCAAGCGUUUAUCCGGAAUUAUUGGGCGUAAAGAGCUCGUAGGCGGUUUGUCGCGUCUGCCGUGAAAGUCCGGGGACUCAACUCCGGAUCUGGCGGUGGGUACGGGCAGGACUAGAGUGAUGUAGGGGAGACUGGAAGUUCCUGGUGUAGCGGUGGAAAUGCGCAGAUAUCAGGAGGAACACCGAUGGCGA